UGGUGCCAGCAGCCGCGGUAACUCCAGCUCCAGAAGCGUAUAUUAAAGUUGUUGCAGUUAAAAAGCUCGUAGUUGGAUCUGGGUCGCAUGGCUACAUGUCGUGGCCUUUUUGUGAGUGGUUUGUUCUGCUCUCAUUUGGGUCGAUGUAGUGGCUGUGCAGCCUAUCAGUCGUGUCCGUGAAUACGGGUGCCGGCUGGGUUGGUGGGCUAGUCUCAUUGACCUGUCGGCAUGCUUCCAGAUGCCUUUAAACGGGUGUCGGGAGCGGACGACACGUUUACUUUGAACAAAUUUGAGUGCUCAAAGGAGGCCUGUGUGCCUGAAAAGUCUUGCAUGGAAUAAUAGAAUAGGACUUCGGUUCUAUUUUGUUGGUUUUCGGAUCCGAAGUAAUGGUUAAGAGGGACAGACGGGGGCAUUUGAAUGGCGGUGUUAGAGGUGAAAUUCUUGGAUCGCCGCCAGUCAAGCUACAGCGAAAGCAUUUGCCAAGAAUGUUUUCAUUGAUCAGGAGCGAAAGUCAGAGCUUCGAAGACGAUCAGAUACCGUCCUAGUUCUGACCAUAAACGAUGCCAACUGACGAUCCGUGGUGGUUCUGUUUUUGGCCCCGCGGGCAGUCUCCGGAAAACCCUUAAGUCUUUGGGCUCCGGGGGAAGUAUGGUUCCAAAGCUGAAACUUAAAGGAAUUGACGGAAGGGCACCACCAGGAGUGGAGCCUGCGGCUUAAUUCGACUCAACACGGGAAAACACACCCGGCCCGGACACUGUGAGGAUUGACAGAUUGAUAGCUCUUUCUUGAUUCGGUGGUUGGUGGUGCAUGGCCGUUCUUAGUUGGUGGAGCGAUUUGUCUGGUUAAUUCCGAUAACGAACGAGACUUUGGCCUGCUAAAUAGUAUGCCUGUCCUCUGUGCUCGUGCAGGGCGCGGCGUACACUGCCUCUUCGUGGGGUGGUGCUGUCGUUGUCCGGCGGGUGCGGCGGAGGUGUUUACUU
rnacentral:rRNA from 1 species